rnacentral:rRNA from 1 species
CGGCGAUACCCGAAUGGGGAAACCCAGUGUGAUUCGUCACACUAUCAUUAACUGAAUCCAUAGGUUAAUGAGGCGAACCGGGGGAACUGAAACAUCUAAGUACCCCGAGGAAAAGAAAUCAACCGAGAUUCCCCCAGUAGCGGCGAGCGAACGGGGAGGAGCCCAGAGCCUGAAUCAGCAUGUGUGUUAGUGGAAGCGUCUGGAAAGGCGCGCGAUACAGGGUGACAGCCCCGUACACAAAAGCGCAUGUGCUGUGAGCUCGAUGAGUAGGGCGGGACACGUGGUAUCCUGUCUGAAUAUGGGGGGACCAUCCUCCAAGGCUAAAUACUCCUGACUGACCGAUAGUGAACCAGUACCGUGAGGGAAAGGCGAAAAGAACCCCGGCGAGGGGAGUGAAAAAGAACCUGAAACCGUGUACGUACAAGCAGUGGGAGCACCCUUUGGGUGUGACUGCGUACCUUUUGUAUAAUGGGUCAGCGACUUAUAUUCUGUAGCAAGGUUAACCGAAUAGGGGAGCCGGAGGGAAACCGAGUCUUAAUUGGGCGUUAAGUUGCAGGGUAUAGACCCGAAACCCGGUGAUCUAGCCAUGGGCAGGUUGAAGGUUGGGUAACACUAACUGGAGGACCGAACCGACUAAUGUUGAAAAAUUAGCGGAUGACCUGUGGCUGGGGGUGAAAGGCCAAUCAAACCGGGAGAUAGCUGGUUCUCCCCGAAAGCUAUUUAGGUAGCGCCUCGUGAAUUCAUCUCCGGGGGUAGAGCACUGUUUCGGCUAGGGGGCCAUCCCGGCUUACCAACCCGAUGCAAACUGCGAAUACCGGAGAAUGUUAUCACGGGAGACACACGGCGGGUGCUAACGUCCGUCGUGAAGAGGGAAACAACCCAGACCGCCAGCUAAGGUCCCAAAGUCAUGGUUAAGUGGGAAACGAUGUGGGAAGGCCCAGACAGCCAGGAUGUUGGCUUAGAAGCAGCCAUCAUUUAAAGAAAGCGUAAUAGCUCACUGGUCGAGUCGGCCUGCGCGGAAGAUGUAACGGGGCUAAACCAUGCACCGAAGCUGCGGCAGCGACACUGUGUGUUGUUGGGUAGGGGAGCGUUCUGUAAGCCUGUGAAGGUGUGUCGUGAGGCAUGCUGGAGGUAUCAGAAGUGCGAAUGCUGACAUAAGUAACGAUAAAGCGGGUGAAAAGCCCGCUCGCCGGAAGACCAAGGGUUCCUGUCCAACGUUAAUCGGGGCAGGGUGAGUCGACCCCUAAGGCGAGGCCGAA